AUACGGAGGAUCCGAGCGUUAUCCGGAUUUAUUGGGUUUAAAGGGUGCGCAGGCGGCCGUGCAAGUCAGCGGUGAAAGCCCGGGGCCCAACCCCGGAAGUGCUGUUGAUACUGCAUGGCUUGAAUGCGGUCGAGGCGGUCGGAACGGGGGGUGGAGCGGUGGAAUGCGUAGAUAUGACGAAGAACACCGAUUGCGUAGGCAGCUGACCAGACCGCAAAUGACGCUCAUGCACGAAAGUGCGGGGAUCGAACAGGAUUAGAUACCCUGGUAGUCCGCACAGUAAACGAUGAAUACUUGUUUUCGGCGAUAUAAUGUCGGAGGCAAAGCGAAAGCGAUAAGUAUUCCACCUGGGGAGUACGCCGGCAACGGUGAAACUCAAAUGAAUUGACGGGG
rnacentral:rRNA from 1 species